GUUUGAUCCUGGCUCAGAACGAACGCUAUCGGUAUGCUUAACACAUGCAAGUCGGACGGACUAAUUAGGGCUUGCUCCAAUUAGUUAGUGGCAGACGGGUGAGUAACACGUGGGAAUCUGCCCAUCAGUACGGAAUAACUUUUAGAAAUAAAAGCUAAUACCGUAUAUUCUCUACAGAGGAAAGAUUUAUCGCUGAUGGAUGAGCCCGCGUCAGAUUAGGUAGUUGGUGAGGUAACGGCUCACCAAGCCGACGAUCUGUAGCUGGUCUGAGAGGAUGAUCAGCCACACUGGGACUGAGACACGGCCCAGACUCCUACGGGGGGCAGCAGA
rnacentral:rRNA from 1 species